rnacentral:tRNA from 1 species
GGGGCCGGUGGUGGUUGCGACACCAGGAUUGUCACCUAGGUGUCUGGGGUUCAACUCCCCACGGCUCCACCA